GGAGGGUGCAAGCGUUAAUCGGAAUUACUGGGCGUAAAGCGCACGCAGGCGGUUUGUUAAGUCAGAUGUGAAAUCCCCGCGCUUAACGUGGGAACUGCAUUUGAAACUGGCAAGCUAGAGUCUUGUAGAGGGGGGUAGAAUUCCAGGUGUAGCGGUGAAAUGCGUAGAGAUCUGGAGGAAUACCGGUGGCGAAGGCGGCCCCCUGGACAAAGACUGACGCUCAGGUGCGAAAGCGUGGGGAGCAAACAGGAUUAGAUACCCUGGUAGUCCACGCUGUAAACGAUGUCGACUUGGAGGUUGUGCCCUUGAGGCGUGGCUUCCGGAGCUAACGCGUUAAGUCGACCGCCU
rnacentral:rRNA from 1 species